rnacentral:lncRNA from 1 species
UUUGGCCGGCCAUCGCAAGAAAACAAAGGGGAAAAGAAAAACAAAAACCUAGGUGGAGAAAUUCAAGGGAAAAUUGGUGAAAAUUCAAGGAAACAAGUGAUAAAAGGUAAAAUUUCUUGAUUUUGACUUGUAAUCUACCUUUCCCAUGCUUUUCUCCUUAUUUUUCAUGGUUGGAUUUCAUGUUUUCAUGGUGAAUUCAUGGCUGCCCAAAUGGGUAUGGAGAGAGAAUGAAGUUAGAUUAAUUUGAUUUUAAGUUAUGUUAAUGUUUUAAGUUAAUUUAGCAUAUUUAGGAACAAAACAAUAAGAAAAGAAUUUAUUUUCCUCCAUUACCAUUAUUGGCUGAAUUUUCUAGGGGAAUAUUGGCUGCUGAUCUUGAUGUUUAUUUGAGGAAUUAUAAUGAAUAAUGAUGAAUUAUGAGCCUAGAAAAAUAAUGGGAAUUUUCGGAGUAAAAAUACGAAUUUUUACCCACUAGGGGUAUUUUCGUAAUUUAUUAUCGAGACUAAUAAUUUGCGCCACACUGAGGAACAUUAAGUCAAUUUGGAUGCAAUUGAGCUGUAGAAACUGAAAAAAAUUAAUUUGGGAUUAAAUUGGACGCGUUAGUAUUUUAAUAGGGUAAUAGGCCGAAUUAGGUCAGCACUGCAUUUAAGCGGUAAUCGGAUAAGUUGCAUAUCAUAUCAUGCAUAUACACCGAGUUUGAAUUGAUUUUAUAAUGGUCAAGCAUUAAUGUGGUGAAUUAUGUAUUGUACAUUAUGGAUAGGUGGUGAGCAAAUUACACUGGUAAAAGUACAGAGAUUGUGCUUGAAGACUGGGGUUAGGAGUAUAUCGACUCCUAGAAAUGUGAGUGGACAACUUAUCGUCUUAAAUAUCUAGAGUUGUUAUACUUGUUUGAUGCUUUUAUUGAAUGGUGAGUUUAAAUUAUAAAAUAUUAUGUUUUCUAAUUAAAAUGUUUUUAAUAAAAAUGAGAUUUAUAUUGAUUUUGAAAUCAAAUAUUGUUUUGGGAAAAUUGAGUAUAUGGAGACUGUUGAAAUUUAUGAUUUUAUAUGUUAUUGAAAUUGGGGCUUAUGACACUAUGGUAGCAUGAUGGCUAAAUUUUUGGGGUUGGCAUGAAAUAUAUGAACAGUUUUGGAUUGGUCUCGGUAGACUGGAUUAAUUUUAAUUGCCAUAUUAUGUUACUGAAAAUUUUAUGGGUCUGGUGGUAUAUUAAACGGUCACAGCAGUGGUGGGGGUUUCCAUGGACUGCUUAUGAGAGGGAUACGGUAACCCAAUUAUAUAAUUACCUCCGGAGGGAGAUGUUGGAUGAAGUAUCUCCUGAGGUAAGAUUUGAGUGCACCUCACGUUCGGGCCACCACGUGAGUGUAAGACUCAGCCAACGCCAAAGAACGACUGUGUGUUAGAUGUGAAAACAUAUUUAUGGGUAUGGGACAUUUAACAGCCUUGGCGGUGUCAAUGGGAUACCUUGACGAAGGUACCCGCGAGAAUGAUUCUGGUAGGGGCCAAGUUUAAGAAAUUCAUAAGCCGGGAAAUUUUGAUGAAAAGAAAUUGUUUGGUAUAGAUUGAAAUAAAUUUUGUGUUAUGAACAUUAUUGAGAUAUAACGAUUUUAUAUUGUCUCCAUCUACUCGACUUUAGAUGCUUUUGAUGGUAAUUGUUUACUCACUGAGAUUAUGUAAUCAUAAUCUCACCCCUCUCCCUAUCCAUUUUUCAGGCUCAGGACAGUUUGUUGAUAGUUGAUUAAGACGGGAAUUAAUUUCGGAGUGCAUCCUAGAAAGUAAGGGUUCGUAGCCCUACACUUUCUUGGUCAAUUAGGGGCCUACGUGUCAUUGUAAAAGUAAUUUUAUACUUUAGUUAUUUAAUUUAAAGUAUGUAUGAAUAUAUUUAGCUUUUACACCAUGUUUUUGACGAGUUUCGGUAUUUUUGAAGAAAAAUGAUGAAAAUGCCCUUAUGAGCUAGAAAAUAAUAUUUUAUUAUUUUGAUUUGGAAAUGACUUAUGAUUUUUUGAAAUGUGAGAUUUAAUAACUGUCGCUCACUGGGGAGAUGCGGAAGCUGAUGCUAAGCUUUGCUGGUUUUCGAUCGGCAUUCGGGGUAAUGAGUGCCUAUCGGGACGUCGCGGUGGUUGUCACGGGCUCAAUGGGAGUUCCGGGUCGUGACAUUAGGUGGAAGUUUGGUUCCCUUAGGAACCCAUACAUAUCUACCCACUUUAUCUCUUUGUAUAACAAUUCUAUAAGAGCAAGAUAAGGUCGAAUGUCCAAAUUUUAAACAUGAAGUGCAUUUGGAAAAACUAUAAUAUUUUUUAUUUUCUUUAAUAAAGAAAUUCUUAAGACAAGUUUCUUUUUGUGUAAAGUCAUAGCCUAUCCCUUCUUUGUUAAAUAAUGC